GAUGAAGAACGUAGCGAAAUGCGAUAAGUAAUGCGAAUUGCAGAAUUCAGUGAAUCAUCGAAUCUUUGAACGCACAUUGCGCCCCCUGGUAUUCCGGGGGGCAUGCCUGUUCGAGCGUCAUUACAACCCUCAAGCUCUGCUUGGUAUUGGGCCCCGCCAGUUCUGGCGGGCCCUAAAGUCAGUGGCGGUGCCUUCCGGCUCCGAGCGUAGUAAUUCUUCUCGCUCUGGAGACCCGGUUGUGUGCUUGCCAACAACCCCCAAUUUUUUAAGGUUGACCUCGGAUCAGGUAGGGAUACCCGCUGAACUUAAGCAUAUCAAUAAGCGGAGGA
rnacentral:misc_RNA from 1 species